CUUUCCCUACGGGACGCAGCAGUGGGGAAUAUUGGGCAAUGGGCGCAAGCCUGAUGCAGCAACGCCGCGUGAGUGAUGACGGCCUUCGGGUUGUAAAGCUCUGUCUUCAGGGACGAUAAUGACGGUACCUGAGGAGGAAGCCACGGCUAACUACGUGCCAGCAGCCGCGGUAAUACGUAGGUGGCGAGCGUUGUCCGGAUUUACUGGGCGUAAAGGGAGCGUAGGCGGACUUUUAAGUGAGAUGUGAAAUACUCGGGCUCAACUUGAGUGCUGCAUUUCAAACUGGAAGUCUAGAGUGCAGGAGG
rnacentral:rRNA from 1 species